GAUGAACGCUGGCGGCGUGCCUAAUACAUGCAAGUCGAGCGAACAGACGAGGAGCUUGCUCCUCUGACGUUAGCGGCGGACGGGUGAGUAACACGUGGAUAACCUACCUAUAAGACUGGGAUAACUUCGGAAACCGGAGGCAAUACCGGAGAAUAUAUUGAACCGCAUGGUUUAAUAGUGAAAGACGGUUUUGCCGUUACCUAUAGAUGGAUCCGCGCCGCAUUAGCUAGUUGGUAAGGUAACGGCUUACCAAGGCAACGAUGCGUAGCCGACCUGAGAGGGUGAUCGGCCACACUGGAACUGAGACACGGUCCAGACUCCUACGGGAGGCAGCAGUAGGGAAUCUUCCGCAAUGGGCGAAAGCCUGACGGAGCAACGCCGCGUGAGUGAUGAAGGUCUUCGGAUCGUAAAACUCUGUUAUUAGGGAAGAACAAAUGUGUAAGUAACUAUGCACGUCUUGACGGUACCUAAUCAGAAAGCCACGGCUAACUACGUG
rnacentral:rRNA from 1 species